GGACUGCCGAGGGCGGCUUGCUUCCUGCGAAGAAGGGUUAUGGAUGAAAGGAGCAAAGCCCGGAAGCAGCUAAAAACCAGACCUCCAGAUUGCAGUCGUUCAGGGGAAUGAAGGGCUUGUUGCCUUUCUGCUUUCUGAGUGUCUUUGGAGCCUUCAGGAGCUCAGUGUCAUCUCCGAAGUUCUCUCCACGGUGAGUUCUCACCACCUCCUUGAUUUGAAAUUCGUCCUACUUUCCUGGGCGG